UGACACUGCUGAGGUAUCCUGGGAAGUAUUGCUGAGUCCCUUCCAGUACAAACUUGAUCUCUAUUACCAAUUUCUGACCUAUUUAACCUCUCUGUAUUUAGCUUGAGAAAGCUGAAUUAAAGGGCCCAUAAUAUUUGUAACUUAAGUCCCCAAAUAGGAUGUUGUAGAGAUGAAUGAAGCAAUGUUUCCAAGAUGCUUGGAGGUCUGGGAUGAAAAUCUGCUGAAACAGAGCACAAAGCUAAGUCCUGAUCAGCCUUGCAUACAGCGGAAUGUAGAUCCUCGUCAUCGGAUUUGGACCCAGUGUAGACAGCACCUGAGCAUCAGUCAACUCCACCUUCUAAAGCCUGUGUUUAAGCCACUGCAUCAAAAAGCAAAAGUACCAAUGGACAUUCUUCACCCUGGUUCAGCGUUUCUUCAGCCAAGUGCUUACUCAAGGAACCAAGAAUAAGAGAUAACAAUUUUUUAAAUAUGCAGAAACCCACCAAUAUGAGAAAAGAAGAUUGAAGGCCUU
rnacentral:lncRNA from 1 species